GAAUAUGUAAGGGGCCGUCAAUUAACAUCCAAGGCUGAUGUUUACAGUUUUGGGGUCCUAUUACUUGAAACAGUAAGUGGCAGGAGUAGUGGCAGUGGUACAUGGCAAGGGCAGAAGUUACUCCUAGAAUCGGCAUGGGAGUUCUACGAAGAGGGAAAGCUGUUAGAGUUGGUCGAUCCAGAAAUGGGCGAUUUUCCAGAAAAACAAGUCCUCAAGUACAUUAAGGUAGCUCUCUUUUGCACACAAGAAAAGGCAAAUCGAAGACCGAUGAUGAGCCAGGUUCUUGACAUGCUCACAAGAAACAUCAAGCUCAACGAGAAAGAACUCACACCACCAGGAUUUUUCCAAGAUUCGGGUGGUUUUAGCAGCACACAACUAAAACUGAAGUCAUCCGAAAGCAGCACAAGUCAUCAAAUGAGUUCUGUGCCCCUUACAAUCACUCAGGUGACACCUAGAUAAUCAAUUACUCUUUUGUGAAUGGCAAUUGAAUUUAUUUUAGGAAGAAAUUAUUAUUACCCCGCGGGGGUUUGGUCAGUGAUAAGGAUGCAACACGUGAUGUGUGGAUUAAGUGCACUUCAUGAGUAUGAUCGUGCAGUAAAUGAAGUCUAGUAUUUAAGUCCAUAUAACCCGGAGUUUCGAAUGUGUGCACCAACUAGAGUUGUGGCAGAAGCCAUAGGAAAUUCUUUGGUAUCAAUAAAAGAAAUUAUUUCACUAAAGUGAUGCUCUAUUUUUCUUUCUGAUUAUUUGGUUUUGUCCUUAAAUGAAUUCGUGUUUUAAUCAAUCUAAACAG
rnacentral:misc_RNA from 1 species